rnacentral:misc_RNA from 1 species
UCCAUUAAUUCCAUACUGCUAACCUAUUUUUUAGGAGAUGAACAAAUGAUGACAAGCCAUUAAAUUAUCAUGAUUAAUAAUUCAAAAUCCCACUAUCAAGUCUGAUAACCAUCAGCAUUUUUUGUUUGCAGAACCAAUUAAUUCAGUGUGCUACACAAGAAAAAAAAAAACAAUCAUGAUUAAAUCCUAAAAUUCUAUAUGUGAAGAAAAUUAUAAUGCUAUUUAUAUUAUCUAGUCUUUAUUUUUAUCAUCCAAUUUUUUAAUCAUAGUGAUGAUGAAAACUGAAAUCCAUAUUUUCUCUCCUCCAGAGGAGCAUCAAACACAGUUAAGUGGUCAAAUUGACGCUAUGGGUAGAGCUCAUUGACCCAUGAAAAAUUAAAGCUUCUUACCAAUUUUCCGUGGUAGGAUUAGCGAUAAAUGAUCCAACCCAAAAUAAGAAAAGCAAAUGAGUUAUAUUCUCUUUUACUAAGGAAGCUAGAUGUAAAAAUUUUCAUACCAUUGCAUCAAGGUAUGUCUGC